CCUACGGGAGGCAGCAGUGGGGAAUAUUGGACAAUGGGGGGAACCCUGAUCCAGCCAUGCCGCGUGUGUGAAGAAGGCCCUCGGGUUGUAAAGCACUUUCAGUGAGGAAGAACGCCUGGUGGUUAAUACCCAUCAGGAAAGACAUCACUCACAGAAGAAGCACCGGCUAACUCCGUGCCAGCAGCCGCGGUAAUACGGAGGGUGCGAGCGUUAAUCGGAAUUACUGGGCGUAAAGCGCGCGUAGGUGGCUUGAUAAGCCGGUUGUGAAAGCCCCGGGCUCAACCUGGGAACGGCAUCCGGAACUGUCAAGCUAGAGUGCAGGAGAGGAAGGUAGAGUUCCCGGUGUAGCGGUGAAAUGCGUAGAGAUCGGGAGGAAUACCAGUGGCGAAGGCGGCCUUCUGGACUGACACUGACACUGAGGUGCGAAAGCGUGGGUAGCAAACAGGAUUAGAUACCCUGGUAGUC
rnacentral:rRNA from 1 species